ensembl:rRNA 5S_rRNA 5S ribosomal RNA
GUCUAUGGCCAUACCACCCUGAACAUGACUGGUCUCAUCUGAUUUCAGAAGCUAAGCAGGGUUGGGCCUGGUUAGUACUUGAAUGGGAGAGUGCCUGGGAAUACCGGGUGCUGUAGGCU